GCUCAUGCACGAAAAGCGUGGGUAUCGAACAGGGAUUAGAUACCCUGGUAGUCCACGCGGUAAACGAUGAUAACUAGUUAUCCGGCCAGAUUGAUGGUUGGGUGACCGAGCGAAAGCGUUAAGUUAUCCACCUGGGGAGUACGCCGGCAACGGUGAAACUCAAAGGAAUUGACGGGGGCCCGCACAAGCGGAGGAACAUGUGGUUUAAUUCGAUGAUACGCGAGGAACCUUACCCGGGCUCAAACGCAAGGCGCUACAUCCUGAAAGGGGUGGUUCUUCGGACGUCUUGCGAGGUGCUGCAUGGUUGUCGUCAGCUCGUGCCGUGAGGUGUCGGCUUAAGUGCCAUAACGAGCGCAACCCCCAUCUUCAGUUGCCAUCGGGUCAGGCCGGGCACUCUGGAGAGACUGCCGGCGCAAGCUGUGAGGAAGGCGGGGAUGACGUCAAAUCAGCACGGCCCUUACGUCCGGGGCGACACACGUGUUACAAUGGCGGGGUGACAGCGGGAAGCCAGGCGGCGACGCCGAGCCGAUCCCGAAAACCCGUCUCAGUUCGGAUCGGAGUCUGCAACCCGACUCCGUGAAGCUGGAUUCGCUAGUAAUCG
rnacentral:rRNA from 1 species